UAACGUUCCCAGGCCUUGUACACACCGCCCGUCACAUCAUGAAAGCCGGUUGUACCCGAAGUCGCCCUUUAAAAGGUGCCGAAGGUAUGGCUGGUGAUUGGGAUG
rnacentral:rRNA from 1 species